UUCUCUCUCUCUCUCUCCCUUUAUUUUUAGAUUCAGAAAACAGAAACCCCAAACACAGACAGCUCUCACUUCUCCUCUCAGACCCCAAACCCCAAACCCUUCUCCUCUCAGACCCCAAAUCCCAGACCCGAACCGAACUCCUCUCUCCUUCCUCUCAGACCCAAACUCCUCACUCUUUCUCCCUUUAUUUUCAGACCCAAACCGAAACCCCCAAACUCCUCUCUCUCUUCUCUCAGAACUCAAACCCCAAACUGUGAGAACCCCAAUCUCACAAAAGCCCAUCCUCUCGAGCAUCCUCCAAGCGCCAUCUGUGGCUCUUCCAAGCCGCCGGAGACGUACGGUUCCUCCAAGCUCCAUCGGAGAAUCUCCAUCUACGUGAAGUAUCUCUCGACUCCCUCUCUGUUUUGCAUGUGUUGGUGAAGGGAGACCCAGCCACCGCACGGAAGUCAUCGGAGGCCCAGCAGACACCAACUCACCACCACCAUCACCAUCACCAUUUUAAUUACUCUGCUCCCACCAUUGCUGUCAGUGACAGGUCCCUCAAGUUUACUCAUGUUCUCUACAACCUCUCCCCUGCUGAACUGUAUGAACAAGCUAUAAAGUCGGAGAAAGGUUCGUUCAUAACGUCAACUGGGCAAAGACAGGUCGAGCUCCAUGAGACAAGCGUGUCGUUAAGGAUGACACCACUGAGGAUGAGCUGUGGUGGGGAAAGGGCUCUCCUAAUAUUGAAAUGGACGAAAACACCUUUUUAGUCAACAGAGAAAGAGCUGUGGAUUACUUGAAUUCCUUGGAGAAGGGCUUGUAGUCCCAGAUGUUCCAUUAGAAGAGACUGAAAAUUUAAGAAAGGAAGCUCUGAAAAAGAAUAUUGAACUGGUAUUGCUAACCACACCCACUACUCCUAAUGAUCGAAUGAAAGCCAUUGUUCAAGCUGCUGAAGGAUUUGUCUAUCUGAUAUGUCUUCUGCGGUUAUACAACAUCACGGAGGUGAUGGUGGGGCAAAUCCUCCUCCAGAUCCAACACAGAUACAGGCUGAUUGUGAGAGAGUGACGACUAAAACGAAAAGGCGCGGCAUCAACAAGGGGUUUUCAACUCGAGAAGCUAGAGUUGCAUUAGGUAGACCACUACCACUGGAGUGGGAUGUUCGAGGGAAGACUUACAAAGAAAUUGGUGAUUAUUCCCAACAUUUCUCUAGAGAGAUCGGCAUUCUCAUUCGACAAUAUGCCGAUCUCGACUAAGACCGAUGGGAUAAAUUACCCAGCGAAGUUAGGGACCGCAUACUUCCUCGUCUAGAGGGUGAUUUAUUCGACAUUGGUCGAAGUCGAUAUGCCUCAGAGAACCUCCCCGGCAUUCUUUUGGGCAUUCAACGGUCGUGCGCUGAUCGUUACUCGGAGUGGAAGAAUGACUUGUCCACUCAUUUAAAAAAGAAUGGUCGAGCACAUCCUCCUGAUGGUUUGGGCAUGGAGAAAUGGCAGAAGGCGCUCCAGUAUUUUGAUCGCCCUGAAGUGAAGUGUUCUGAGACUAACUCUGCGAACCGUGCAAAACAAAAACAGAGAAGCGUGCAGGGUUCACAGUCUACGCCAGCCCUUCGUUACAAGAAGUAUUGUAGCGUGAUUUACAAACUGGGUGUCUUGCUGGGGUUCCAGAGAUUUGGAUGGCGACUAAGUACAUAGACGGGGAAGGUUGGAUGAGCAAGGCAGCAAAGGAUAACUAUGAAAAGAUGAUGGAGAUACGUGACACUCUGCAGUCGCAAUCAUCUACGAGCGCCUCUGCUUCGAGUACUAUCCCGAGAGAAGAGGAUGACAUUAUUCUUGUUGAGACUAUCUUUGGACGUCGUCGAGGCUAUCAGCCGGGCCUUGGUCGUAGGAUUCGCACGAGGGUGAAUUGUGAAGCGGCUGAUGUACCUCAACUAGCCCAACCACCUCCUACCGCACAAGACAUGCAAGAGGUGAGGGAGCGACUCCGAGCCAUAGAGGAGCACUUGGCUAGGAUUGGUGGAGUCUCGGGAUCUGGAUCUUCUCAGCAAGGUCAUGGUGUCGAUCCUACAACACCUAGUUAAAAACAUUUAUAUUUAUGUAUUUUAAUUUUACUAUGAUAGUUACUUUGUCAUAAGAAUAUUUAUAGUAAAAAUAUAAUUUUGUGCAUAAUUAAAUUAA